UACGUAGGGGGCAAGCGUUGUCCGGAAUUAUUGGGCGUAAAGCGCGCGCAGGCGGUCUGGUAAGUCUGGUGUUUAAUCCUGAGGCUCAACUUCAGGGCGCACUGGAAACUGGCAGACUUGAGUGCAGAAGAGGAAAGUGGAAUUCCACGUGUAGCGGUGAAAUGCGUAGAGAUGUGGAGGAACACCAGUGGCGAAGGCGACUUUCUGGGCUGUAACUGACGCUGAGGCGCGAAAGCGUGGGGAGCAAACAGG
rnacentral:misc_RNA from 1 species